rnacentral:rRNA from 1 species
GACGAACGCUGGCGGCGUGCUUAACACAUGCAAGUCGAACGGUGAAGCGCCUUCCUUUUUGGUGGGUGUGGAUGAGUGGCGAACGGGUGAGUAACACGUGAGUAACCUGCCCCCUUCUUCUGGAUAACCGCAUGAAAGUGUGGCUAAUACGGGAUAUUCUGGGUCUGUCGCAUGAUGGGUCUGGGAAAGAUAUUGUUUCGGUGGGGGAUGGGCUCGCGGCCUAUCAGCUUGUUGGUGGGGUGAUGGCCUACCAAGGCGGUGACGGGUAGCCGGCCUGAGGGGGGGGAGGUCACCAGGGGGAGAAAGCGCCGCCCGGGCCCCCGCGGGGGGCAGGGGGGGGGAAUUAUGGACGAGGGGGGCAGAGGUUGAGGCAGCACGCCGGGGGGGGGAAGGGCGGCCUUGGGUUGUGAAACUUUUUUGGCAAGGGAAGCAGCCCUGCUUGUUUUGUGGGUGGGUGGAGGUUAGCUGAAAAAGAGGGGCCGGCUAACUAGGGG